GAUGAACGCUGGCGGCGUGCCUAAUACAUGCAAGUAGAACGCUGAAGGAAGGAGCUUGCUCUUUCCGGAUGAGUUGCGAACGGGUGAGUAACGCGUAGGUAACCUGCCUGGUAGCGGGGGAUAACUAUUGGAAACGAUAGCUAAUACCGCAUAACAGUAGAUGUUGCAUGAUAUCUACUUAAAAGGUGCAAUUGCACCACUACCAGAUGGACCUGCGUUGUAUUAGCUAGUUGGUGAGGUAACGGCUCACCAAGGCGACGAUACAUAGCCGACCUGAGAGGGUGAACCGCCACACUGGGACUGGGACAAGGCCCAGACUCCUACGGGAGGCAGCAGUAAGGAAUCUUCGGGAAUGGACGGAAGUCUGACCGGGCAACGCCGCGGGGGGGAAGAAGGUUCUCGGGUCGUAAAGCUCUGUUGUAAGAGAAGAACGAGUGUGAGAGUGGAAAGUUCACGCUGUGACGGUAUCUAACCAGAAAGGGACGGCUAACUACGUG
rnacentral:rRNA from 1 species